rnacentral:rRNA from 1 species
UACGUAGGGGGCAAGCGUUGUCCGGAUUUACUGGGCUUAAAGGGUGCGUAGGCGGCGCAGAAAGUUGGGUGUGAAAUCCCUCGGCUCAACCGAGGAACUGCGCCCAAAACUACUGUGCUUGAGGAAGAUAGAGGUAAGCGGAACUUACGGUGGAGCGGUGAAAUGCGUUGAUAUCGUAAGGAACACCUGUGGCGAAAGCGGCUUACUGGGUCUUUUCCGACGCUGAUGCACGAAAGCCAGGGGAGCAAACGGG